GUCUCUCUCUCUCUCUCUCUCUCUCUCUCUCUCUCUCUCUCGUGUGUGUGUGUGUGUGUGAGAGAGAGAGAGAGAGAGAGAGAGAGCG